CUGUGGUCAUAAAUGAAGCAGCUAUUUACAAAGGGAAUGAUGGUAUCUGGGGAUAUGUCCUGGAUCAGUAAACUUGGGUUUGUGUUGGUUCGUAUUGUGUGCUUUGGUAUCUCGGCUAUGAAGAAUAUUUAGAAGGUCGAAACAGAUACAGGGAAAGCAUCUGUGGCCGUUGAAUUGUACAGAAAGAAUGGAGAUGGAAUCAAGCUCACUGGUGGUUGUUCUCUAGUCACAAUUGUCUGAAACGAGUGCCGGCUAAAUGGGUUUCCGUUGGUGUGUUUUGCUGGUUUGGUCCGAGUGGACGGUCAGAUUCUUGGAAGGAUUCGUCGGAGCUUAUACUACAAGUGGUAACGGGAUUGGAAGUUCAUGAGGAGUAGUGGACUAACUGAAUUCGAUUGAGACAUGAAGUGAAGAAACCAAGUAGGGUCUGUACUCGGCAUGUAUGGGUACCGAAGGUCAUUGAUGGGGUUCGACUAAAGUCGCAGCUGGAAUGUCAGGGAGAGAACAACGAUGAAGACGAGUACGAUUUGAAUUGGGGUUUCGAAUUGAUGAAGAUUUUGAGCUGAUUAUAUGCCGGCAGUGAACAUGUUGGUUCGAAUGAAGACGGGAAUGUGAUGCCAUGGUCAUGGCUAUGACCAGUGGGUUCCAAUUAAUGGAAUCUGGAUGGAAAUUUUAUAUGGAGCAGUUUGUUCGAAUAGAGGAUGGUAGCUGGCGGUGAUUUACGGACGUGGAUGGAGAGAUGGAGUAAUUGGAAGCAGUACUUUGUCGUUGGUUAUCCAUGUACUUGACAGUGGGGAUUUAAGUAAUUUCUAUCCAGGUUCUAGCCAUGAGUUCGACUGGUGAUUAACUGCCAUGGUGUUGGGCUUUGCGCCAGAAGGAAUUAACAAGUAAGGUGUCUUGUCCUUCUUCAAAGAAGAAAAAUAGGAGGAGUCAGCGACAGAGAAUCAGAUUAAAGAGGAAGAAGAGGGAGUCUGGAGAUGUCCCUGACAAAUAAGAGAAGCAGUCGGUGAAAAAGUAAGAUAAAGAAAAAGAGAAGCAGUCCGAGAAAAAGCAAGCUAAGAGAAGGCGUAAAAACAAAGACUAAAAAUUGAAAUUUUGUCUCAUUUUUCAGCUGAGCAAUGGAUGAAAAUGAAACAGGCGGAUAUUAGUACAUGUACUUUUCGCGGUACUUAGCAUUGGAUAGCCUUUUUAAUCAGUUGAUUGUUGCAGUAAGAUGUAUCCAUUUCGUUGUUAAGGUUUCAGGUUCAGAAAAUACUCCUCGAUGUACUGUUCGAUGAGUAUCUCUAGAUAAUGCCUUUAUAUACUCUUUGAUUCGUUUCAUGACAGGUGACACCAAUAAUGUAU